CCUACGGGUGGCUGCAGUGGGGAAUAUUGGGCAAUGGGCGCAAGCCUGACCCAGCCACGCCGCGUGAGUGAUGAAGGCCUUCGGGUCGUAGAGCUCUGUGGGGAGGGACGGAACUACGCUGGCUAAUAUCCAGCGGACUGACGGUACCUCCUUAGCAAGCACCGGCUAACUCCGUGCCAGCAGCCGCGGUAAUACGGAGGGUGCAAACGUUGCUCGGAAUCAUUGGGCGUAAAGCGCACGUAGGCGGUCCAGCAAGUCGGGUGUGAAAGCCCUCGGCUUAACCGAGGAAGUGCAUUCGAAACUACUGGACUUGAAUACUGGAGAGGAUCGCGGAAUUCCCGGUGUAGAGGUGAAAUUCGUAGAUAUCGGGAGGAACACCAGUGGCGAAGGCGGCGAUCUGGACAGAUAUUGACGCUGAGGUGCGAAAGCGUGGGGAGCAAACAGGAUUAGAUACCCGAGUAGUC
rnacentral:rRNA from 1 species